GAAGUUGUUCACUAGUAUCAUUUCAUUACUAGCUUGCCAUUCAUGUUCUCAAAGAACAUCAAAAGGGACACUUUAAUGUACUUAUGGACUUUAUCCAGCUGGUGUAUAGCACAUAGUGUCUGUGCUUUUGUAGCAGAGCAUAACUUGACUUGUGGGAGUUUUAAUAUUUUAGCAACUGCCAGAAGAAGCAUACUGAGGGGUGCCUUUUGAAAAACAUACAGGAAACAGAUAACAAGAUGACAGUCAUAAAUGCAAUAUUUACAUUGACAGCAAAAUACUCUGUGCUCCUGGAAAAAGCUAGCUGCAUAUAAAAUCUACACUUCCAUGUAGCUGCUCUUUAGAUUUCUACAAAGGAAAAUGUCAGUGUGUAGCAUCUGAGUUGCUUCUGGCUUCAUUCUCUCUUAACUUUCCCCAAGCUUCCCAAACAGACAUGAUGAAAUCCCAGUGAUCAGCAUGUGGAUCUGAGCUUAAUGGUCCUGCUGGCUCCGUGUGCCUAGUGGCACAGUUGUUAUCCCCACCAGGCGGUAACAGGGUUAUUAAAACUCCUCUCCACAGGAGACAAGCGGGUAGUGCUGGGAAAAGACCCAAGAAGCUUUAGAAACAGUUGUGCCUGGUGAGAAAGCUUAACUUUCCAGCCAAAACUGCCUGACGCUGGCUCAUCGGGGUACAGUCGUGGAAGUGCUUUGUGCCCCUGGGAUGGCGCUCUGCUGUCUAAAAGAGGGAUCCAGGCAAGGUGCUACCAACAAUGUCUGCAUCUCUCCUCAGGGUGUAUAUGAAGUGAUCAGAUUCAGGACACUGUCAUCACUGCGGGAUCCCUCACCAAUGGAUUUCCCCCAAAAUCGAUCACCUGGCCAUUGGCAUUCAAGGAUUUUCCUGGUUUUCUUUGCAACCAUGAACUCUGGAAGACAAAAUGGAGACUGUGGUUACCCAAGUGAUUUCAGAAGCAGGCAGUACCAGAAAACACCCCAAAUGUUAAAGUGGGAUAUUAUAACUCAAUGAUGAGAUGCUCUGUAUGUUUAGGUUAAAAGUAGGAACUGGUGACAUGUUUAUAUUGUGAACCAAAGUGCAUUUUCUUACAAGGCAGUAUUUUAAGUUUGUAUUUUUGACACAUAGUGUCCUUUCACAUCUUUUAUAUGUUAUUCAGAAAAACUCAGCAAGGAUGUAUGUAUUUUUCCUAAAGUUCAUUAAGUUACAGAGUAGUCUGCAAAAAUCUAACUGAUGUUUACCUGUUCUUAUAUUGAAGAUGGUUCCAAGAUGCUUUGUUGAAAUUUCACUUUUCUUCUUCAAGGAGAUCUAGGAUCUUGAUACUGUGGAAGAGCAUUUCUAGGUAAAUCUCUCUUUCUCUAAAAAUGAUCUGAGGAGUUUGUCUCAUGCUGUGUAGCUGUUCAAAAUGCAAGAGUUUCGUUGUCCUAGGAUUCAUCUUCCAUCUUUUUUCUCUCUUCUGGAAGCAAAGUGUCCAAGCAGAGUGCCCUACAAGUUAGCAGUCUUCACUGCUAUCAUCAAGAUGAUUUCUAAGAGCACAAGAGGAUUCUUAUAUGCCUUUUCUGUAAGAAACAAGACAAACAACAACCACAGCAGUAGUCUCUAGAGGACCAGCUCCAAAAGGCAUCACAGACACUGUUUUAUUUUAGCUCCAGCAUGCAUAUUCAUUAAGUGCUUCCUCAUGAUAUUUAUGUUACUGUCUUUCCUGUGUUCAUAAUCAAAGUGUCUUUCUUAUAAAUACAAAUCCCUUUUUUACUCCUUUUUAAUUUAAAGCACUUCCAUACUGCCAGUACAACCUUACAAGAUGCUGUGGUUUAACCCGGCUGGCAGCUAAACACCACACAGCCGUUCGCUCACCCUCCCCCCUCCCUCUCUG
rnacentral:lncRNA from 1 species